ACAUCGGUAGCACAGUGGUUAGUGCAGUCUGCCGGAAACAGAAAGACGAGGGUUCAAUUCCCGUCCUAUGUC
rnacentral:tRNA from 1 species